GUCAGCUGCACAAAAGCUGCCCGAACUUCCAACAGUUCAGCCGUUUUCUGGGCCAGCUCUUUGGUUCAUGUGAAGUUUCCAGCUGACUGCAGUCACACAAGAGAUUCUAGUGAAGAGGAAUAACCAUGUGAAGAGGAAGAACCACCAACUGAGCCUGGCGAACUCUCAGAAUCAUGAAAAUAAAAUAAGUAACUGAAACACUAAGGUGUUUGAUGAGCUCCAAGGGACUAUCUAAGCUCAAAUAUUUGCACCUAUGAAAAGUAUGUGUAGCAGAGGAAGAAACUACAAAAAAAGAAAAUCAUCAUCCCUAGUAUCCUAUCACCCUGAUGUCCUAGAUACCCUCCUUUGUCUCUGAAAAUCCAUUCUCCACCCUACUUUGAGCUUUGGAAGCCUGAUCUGCAUAGGCUGCAUUAACCAGCCCCCUUUGGCUUCUGGACUCCUAUUAGACUUGGCUAAUGGGAAGCACCAGCCAGAGAUUGGAAGGAUGGAAAACAGAGAAAUUGAGUGGUUAAGAAUCCGCCUGCCAAUGCAGGGGACAUGGGUCCAGGAAGAUCCCACAUGCCCCGGAGCAACUAAGCCCGUGCACCACAACUACUGAGCCUGCACUCUAGAGCCCACGAGCCACAACUACUGAGCCCACGUGCCACAACUACUAAAGCCCGCAUGCCUAGAGCCUGUGCUCUGCAACAAGAGAAGCCACGGCAAUGAGAAGCCCGUGCACCGCAACAAACAGUAGCCCCCGCUCUCCACAACUAGAGAAAGCCUGCGUGCAUCAACGAAGAC